GAAAAACAUGAUAAUCAUUGCCAGCAUUCAAUGAUUGAAUGAGCACAUAAAGAUGGUAAGGUGGAAUUCCAAGAUGGAUCAAUUGUUGAUGCAGAUGCCAUUAUUCAUUGCACUGGGUACAAAUACCAUUACCCGUUUCUCAAAUCAAAUGGAGUAGUUAAUGUGAACGAAGAUCAUGUUGGACCUCUUUAUAAACAUGUAUUUGCC